rfam:Otolemur garnettii contig136139, whole genome shotgun sequence.
AUGCUCUCUCCAGCAGCACAUAUACUAAAAUUGGGAUGAUACAGAGAAGAUAAGCAUGGCCCCUGUGCAAGGAGGGUGUGCAAAUUUGUUCAUUAAGGAGUGAUUGU